CUUUCUCUCCUCCGACAUCGUCGAGCCUCUCCGACAACAACUCUACCCUAUGUCAAUAGUUGUUCAUAAUUUUAAUUUGCAUCUAUCGCCAUAUAUUCCUUGGAUCUAAAUAUCACAUUCCAUUUUUAGAAAACCAUUGUGAUUCAAAGUGUUUUUUUUUUAUAAAUGACAUGAUAUAUUUCCAGCAAAUGAUAAAUAAUUUUUACAUGAUUUAGGUUAUUUUAUAGUCACCCUAUCACCACUUCCGUGACCAUCACCCACCACCAUCGUUAGCUCCAUUUUGCACACUCUAAAAACACUCAUAAUUAAAUAAUAUUAAAAUUAAUUAUAAAAUAAUCUUUAGACACCCACCAAAAGUAAUCAAUGGAGGUGGUCUAACAAUCACAUGCUAUUUUAUUAAAUGACAUUAUUUUUUCUUCUGAUUCUCAUUGGAUGUCUCUCGCUCGUUGUUAGAAUUCAAGUUUUGAUUUUCUUUAUUUUCAGAUUUUGUGAUAUUAGUAUUCAUUUGAUUUUUUUUCUCUUAAUUACAUGUAUGUUUGUAUUUUGUUUGAGGGCCAAUUCAUCUCUGAAAAAACAUUAGUUUCCAAAGCUUUUUGCCUCAUGGCUAUUUCUUUAAUAUUUUUUGAGUCAAAGGUUAGAUACUAAUAUUAUCCUAAAAAUAAUUUAUGACCAAAAAAAGAAAAAAAAGCUUUACCAAUAGAAUGAAGUUAAAACAAUAGUUGUGUUUCUGAAGAAAUUAGUUAGUUUGCUUGGUGAGAAAAUAUGAGACAAUAUAUUUGUUUGUAUAGAGUUGAGUCUAUUAUCUAAUA
rnacentral:lncRNA from 1 species